CCUACGGGAGGCUGCAGUGGGGAAUAUUGCACAAUGGGCGCAAGCCUGAUGCAGCCAUGCCGCGUGUGUGAAGAAGGCCUUCGGGUUGUAAAGCACUUUCAGCCGGGAGGAAGGCGGUGAGGUUAAUAACCCCAUCGAUUGACGUUACCCGCAGAAGAAGCACCGGCUAACUCCGUGCCAGCAGCCGCGGUAAUACGGAGGGUGCAAGCGUUAAUCGGAAUUACUGGGCGUAAAGCGCACGCAGGCGGUCUGUCAAGUCGGAUGUGAAAUCCCCGGGCUCAACCUGGGAACUGCAUUCGAAACUGGCAGGCUAGAGUCUUGUAGAGGGGGGUAGAAUUCCAGGUGUAGCGGUGAAAUGCGUAGAGAUCUGGAGGAAUACCGGUGGCGAAGGCGGCCCCCUGGACAAAGACUGACGCUCAGGUGCGAAAGCGUGGGGAGCAAACAGGAUUAGAUACCCGAGUAGUC
rnacentral:rRNA from 1 species